GGGUUCUACCGUUGGUCGGGCUAUUGUCUGUACUGGCGUGUAGAAUUUCUACCUUCUGGGGAACUAUCAUGUUAUUAAUUUAGCGUGGUAGGAAACCAGGACCUUUACCUUGAAAAAAUUAGAGUGUUCAAAGCAGGCUUAUGUCUGAAUACAUUAGCAUGGAAUAAUAAAAUAGGACGGUGGUCCUGUUUUGUUGGUUUCUGAAUCACCGUA
rnacentral:rRNA from 1 species